CCAAAAUUUGUAGUUAGUCAAUAAUAAGUCAGUGAUUAAUUGAUAGUCACCAAUGGUGCAGUGACUCGGUAAAUCAUAAAUCUCAGCGACUGGGACGGCAAUAAAGAUAUAACACAUAACUCAUAAGAUUGGUAAGAAAUAAGUCGGUGAACGUUUAACCGACGUAAAGAGAUCACUAACUCAGACCCCGUUGUGAUAUCCAUGUUCAUAUUUACGUUUCUGUUUUGAAGGCUUAGCCUCGGUUAAAGUAGUCGGAUUGUGUGAUGAUCAUGGAGAAACCGGGAUCGACUAUAGUUCUUCAAAGUCUCAUCAUUGUGUUGAUUUGCCUGACAACUUGUG